ACACGUGGGUGAUAUUCCCCUCUAAAUCAGGGCCUGAUUUAGACCUGGGACAACACGUGGGUGAUUCCCCUCUAAAUCAGGGCCUGAUUUAGACCUGGGACAACAGGUGGGUGUAAAUAAUGAUCAGCCAGAACAGAGAACCAAUGGGCUCUUGACCUCAUAGGGAUCCAAUCUGAAUACCCGUACCCUAUACAGUGCACUACUUUUGCCCUCGCUGGUGAAAUGGGCCGUCCCUGGUCUAAAGGUCAUAAUGCCCUGUACAGGGGCUAGGGAUUAUGGUGCUAUUUGGGAUACAGACUUUGUCUCUGAGAGUUCAGACAGGUGAGAAACGUCCUGUCUCUGACAUGGUUAAAGAGUUCAGACAGAUGAGAAACGUCCUGUCUCUGACAUGGUUAAAGAGUUCAGACAGGUGAGAAAUUUCCAGUUAGGGGGUUUCCAGUAUUAGCCCCAUAUAGCCCCUAUAUUUAGCCCCAUAUAGCCCCUAUAUUUAGCCCCAUAUAGCCCCUAUAUUUAGCCCCAUAUAGACCCUAUAUUUAGCCCCAUAUAGCCCCUAUAUUUAGCCCCAUAUAGCCCCUAUAUUUAGCCCUAUAUAGCCGCUAUAUUUAGCCCCAUAUAGCCUCUAUAUUUAGCCCCAUAUAGCCCCUAUAUUUAGCCCCUUAUAGCCCCUAUAUUUAGCCUCAUAUAGCCCCUAUAUUUAGCCCCAUAUAGCCCCUAUAUUUAGCCCCAUAUAGCCCCUAUAUUUAGCCCCAUAUAGCCCCUAUAUUUAGCCCCAUAUUAACUGUAAAGUGUAUAACUUUAAAGUGUAUAACUGUAAACUGUAUAACUGUAAAAUGUAGUAUAACUGUAAACUGUAUAACUGUAAAGUGUAUAACUGUAAAGUGUGAGUGUUAACUGUAAAGUGUGAGUGUUAACUGUAAAGUGUAUAACUGUAAAGUUGUUAACUGUAAAGUGUAUAACUGUAAAGUGUGAGUGUUAACUGUAAAGUGUAUAACUGUAAACUGUAUAACUGUAAAGUGUGAGUGUUUUCAUUUUUUAAAUAGAAUUUUACAAUGACAACACACGUAAACAAAGACCCCAAACAGACCCCUAACGUUAC
rnacentral:lncRNA from 1 species